AGAGUUUGAUCCUGGCUCAGGACGAACGCUGGCGGCGUGCCUAAUACAUGCAAGUAGAACGCUGAAGGAGGAGCUUGCUUCUCUGGAUGAGUUGCGAACGGGUGAGUAACGCGUAGGUAACCUGCCUGGUAGCGGGGGAUAACUAUUGGAAACGAUAGCUAAUACCGCAUAAGAGUGGAUGUUGCAUGACAUUUGCUUAAAAGGUGCACUUGCAUCACUACCAGAUGGACCUGCGUUGUAUUAGCUAGUUGGUGGGGUAACGGCUCACCAAGGCGACGAUACAUAGCCGACCUGAGAGGGUGAUCGGCCACACUGGGACUGAGACACGGCCCAGACUCCUACGGGAGGCAGCAGUAGGGAAUCUUCGGCAAUGGACGGAAGUCUGACCGAGCAACGCCGCGUGAGUGAAGAAGGUUUUCGGAUCGUAAAGCUCUGUUGUAAGAGAAGAACGAGUGUGAGAGUGGAAAGUUCACACUGUGACGGUAUCUUACCAGAAAGGGACGGCUAACUACGUGCCAGCAGCCGCGGUAAUACGUAGGUCCCGAGCGUUGUCCGGAUUUAUUGGGCGUAAAGCGAGCGCAGGCGGUUAGAUAAGUCUGAAGUUAAAGGCUGUGGCUUAACCAUAGUAGGCUUUGGAAACUGUUUAACUUGAGUGCAAGAGGGGAGAGUGGAAUUCCAUGUGUAGCGGUGAAAUGCGUAGAUAUAUGGAGGAACACCGGUGGCGAAAGCGGCUCUCUGGCUUGUAACUGACGCUGAGGCUCGAAAGCGUGGGGAGCAAACAGGAUUAGAUACCCUGGUAGUCCACGCUGUAAACGAUGAGUGCUAGGUGUUAGACCCUUUCCGGGGUUUAGUGCCGUAGCUAACGCAUUAAGCACUCCGCCUGGGGAGUACGACCGCAAGGUUGAAACUCAAAGGAAUUGNAGAUAAAACGUCUAUGCGUUAUCAAACUCAUGACCAAUUGAAACAAAAAGCUGUGGUUAGAUCCUUUCGGAAAUCGUCAAGCGAUUGGAGGAAAUGAACUAAUCCACAGUGGCUUAUUCCAAGUAUACCACUUGGGCUUUGGCAGUAGCUAACUGCGCUAAAUAUAAUAUAAGGAGAAAUAGAUGGAUUUAUGGUUUUCUGAAGUUCAUACUCCAGAUGUCAAAUUGUCUCUGAGAACAGCCAAGCAACUUUACGCUGGAAAAAGUGAAUGGCAGGAUAUCGAAGUCUUGGAUACGCCAGCUUUUGGGAAAAUACUGAUUUUAAAUGGCCAUGUCUUGUUCUCAGAUGCGGAUGAUUUCGUCUACAAUGAAAUGACCGUUCACGUUCCCAUGGCUGUCCA
rnacentral:rRNA from 1 species